rnacentral:misc_RNA from 1 species
GAUGAAGAACGCAGCAAAAUGCGAUAAGUAAUGUGAAUUGCAGAAUUCAGUGAAUCAUCGAAUCUUUGAACGCACAUUGCGCCCGCUGGUAUUCCGGCGGGCAUGCCUGUUCGAGCGUCAUUUCAACCCUCAAGCCCCCGGGUUUGGUGUUGGGGAUCGGCUCUGCCCUUCUGGGCGGUGCCGCCCCCGAAAUACAUUGGCGGUCUCGCUGCAGCCUCCAUUGCGUAGUAGCUAAUACCUCGCAACUGGAACGCGGCGCGGCCAUGCCGUAAAACCCCAACUUCUGAAUGUUGACCUCGGAUCAGGUAGGAAUACCCGCUGAACUUAAGCAUAUCAAUAAGCGGAGGA